rnacentral:lncRNA from 1 species
CAGAGUAGCUGUGGCCCACUGAGUAAGUGUGACACCCGAUAUAGCAGACUUCAGGAGUCCCACCUUCUGUCCAAGUGCUUUGUGGGUGUAGUGCCUCCACAUGAUGAUAGCACACUGAGUAGAAAGACAAAAUCCUUAAACUGCAGAUAACCGAAAAGUUCUACUUUCUCUGAAGAUACUGAACUGAUGAUAUUAUUAUAACGAAUUAUAACUCCAUGCUCUAUGUGACAAGUACUUUGAAAACCCUUGAAACCCUUUUCAGGUGAGACCAUUCUCAGCCAAACUUGGGGUGGAAUGUCCAUGUGGGGUAUGACCAAUGUACUGCAUGCAUGGGUUUCUAGAAAACAAUUGGGAUAGGAAAGAUGUGAGAGCAUACUUUUUUUGUUUAUUCCACCAUUUAGCUUCUCUUUAAUUCUUUGCACAAAGAUAAAUUGCUUUAAGUGUGAUACCAAAUUUUAUUUAGUUUUCUGAACUCUGGGGAUCAUCUCUAAAAUGAAAAAAGAAUAUCAAUAUUAAAUAUAGAACCAAAGAUUUAAAAAUAUUUCAGCCAUGCAAUACAUUGCUGCUGGAGUAAGUGUGCUGUGCUAUUCCAGCCCCAGUGAAUAGUUAAUGCCUUGAACGACUCCUAUUACCACAGGUUGCCAGGCCACCAGAUAUCGAAGCCAAUCCAGGAUUUGUCCAUACAAAAAAUGGGUGCGUUCCCAGCUGAGUCUGUGUUAAGGAGGUUGUUCUGUAUACAGCCA